AUCCAGCUGACGAGUAUCAAACAGGACGAAACGCGAGUCCUAUAU
rfam:Schistosoma mansoni strain Puerto Rico chromosome 4, complete genome